AGGGCUAUGAUGACAUUCCCAAGGAAAUCACUGAACCUGAUGCAACGAAGCCUGAGGACUGGGAUGAUGAGGAAGAUGGUGAAUGGACAGCUCCAACCAUCCCAAACCCUGAGUACAAGGGACCAUGGAUCCAAAAGAAAAUCAAGAACCCUAAUUUCAAGGGCAAAUGGAAGGCACCUUUGAUCGACAACCCAGAGUACAAGGAUGAUCCUUACAUCUACGCUUUUGACAGCCUGAAGCACAUUGGCAUUGAGCUGUGGCAGGUUAAAUCAGGAACUCUGUUCGACAACAUCCUGAUCACUGAUGACCCCGAGUACGCCAAGAAGUUCGCGGAGGAGACCUGGGCCAAGCACAAGGAUGCUGAGAAGGCCGCC